rnacentral:pre_miRNA from 1 species
GAGACACCCCUAUGGAGCAGGACUUGCUUCAGUGGGGCUUUGGUGUUCACUGAGUCUUCCCCUUGAGUGUGUUGCU